GACGGAGGGUGCUAGCGUUGUUCGGAAUUACUGGGCGUAAAGGGCGCGUAGGCGGCCUGGUCAGUCGGGUGUGAAAGCCCGGGGCUCAACCCCGGAACGGCACCCGAGACGGCCAGGCUGGAGACCGGGAGAGGAGGGUGGAAUAGCCAGUGUAGAGGUGAAAUUCGUAGAUAUUGGCUGGAACACCGGUGGCGAAGGCGGCAUCCUGGACCGGCAUUGACGCUGAGGCGCGAAAGCUAGGGGAGCGAACAGG
rnacentral:rRNA from 1 species